rnacentral:pre_miRNA from 1 species
GUGGUACUCGCUCCGUCCGGAAAUACUUGUCACCAAAAUGAAUAAAAGGGGAUGUAUCUAGAUGUAUUUUAGUUAUAGAUACAUCCCUUUUUAUCCAUUUUGAUGACAAGUUGCUAUGGUAGAAUAUGAGUAGGCU